UACGAAGGGGGCUAGCGUUGCUCGGAAUCACUGGGCGUAAAGCGCACGUAGGCGGAUCUUUAAGUCAGGGGUGAAAUCCUGGAGCUCAACUCCAGAACUGCCUUUGAUACUGGGGAUCUCGAGUCCGGGAGAGGUGAGUGGAACUCCGAGUGUAGAGGUGAAAUUCGUAGAUAUUCGGAAGAACACCAGAGGCGAAGGCGCUCACUGGCCCGGCAUUGACGCUGAUGAGCGAAAGCUAGGGGAGCAAACGGG
rnacentral:rRNA from 1 species